rnacentral:misc_RNA from 1 species
GAAGAGAAAUAUAGAUCUGAGCUGAUUGCUAUUUCCUUCCUUGAGUCACCACCUGAAAUUGGAAGUGUACCCGUGGCCGAACUCAAGGGCUAGUGCCUGGAUGUCAGUUAUGAUAAUAGUAUACCUUCUUAUGUAAAAAUGAUACGAAUCUAAGUUCAUGGACGUGUUGUUUCGACUGUAGAGCAAUGCUGUCCACGUUCUUUGUUUCUGUAACAUAAACUCUCUCUGCACGGGUUGUUU